AGCCUCGCCCCUGCCCACCGGCUCACGCGGGACGUGUGGGCGCCAGAAUGGGCCGGGCCUAAGGCUCCUGCCAGGGACGUCAAGAGGCUCAGGGACUGCAAAGACGUCUGGGGACGCAGUUGGCGUCAGCCACACGCUCCGGGCCGCUCCGGGCCAAGUUCCAUAAUAUGGGCAUCUUCUGACACAUGAUAGGGAGGCGCAAACAGACCUCCAUUAAGAUAAUUGUUAUUUAUGAACCAAUUUCUACUGCAGAGAUGGGGUGAUUGAACAUCCUAUGGUGGUUGUUUUCUGGACUGGUGGUAACUUUGUGAGUUCUGAAAAGCCCAGAGGUCUUCUGUCUGUGGAGUGGCAGUGGCUGAAUUAGAUGGGCCACUGCAAAGAUCAAGUAUGGCUGUUUGAGAAGAUAGUACCAAGUUGAAAUGUGAAAUACCUAAUUAGCAUUAUUGCUCAACUGCUUUACUUUUAAGUCUUUGAUGAGGCUUAAAAUAUUAGCCUCCUGACCAACUAUAACUGUAAUUAUAAGUUAAAUUUCUCAAUAUUGUUCUAAUCAUUACAUUUACAUUCAUACAUUCUGUAAUGUAUACUAUGAUUCUAUGUUUAGCAUCUUACAUUGAAUACUGCUUUUGCACUUUCCCCUCUUUAGAGAGAUCAUAGACUUAAGCCAAAAAAUAAUAUUGUCCUCAGGACUCUGGAGUAGGGAUUUAAUGAUUAAAUGAAUGUGAAAAUAGGGCCUGAUUUCCCUAAUUAGGGGAAUACUUUCCUAGCUCCAAACUGGUUCUAUAAAAUGAAAAUGCUGAGUACAGGGCGGUGAGUUGUAUAGAACUCUACCCUUACAAGAUCUUGUAAUGGUACCUUUCUGUUAGAUAUCUAUAUAUCUAUAUCUUCUAUAUCUAUUCCACCUAAAGUUAAUGUAUCAAAGUAUCUCUAUAUAUGCACAUCUAUAUGUAGACAUAGUCGUUGAUGUUUUUAUUUAUAUAUAUGGUCUUUUUUUGGUCAUUUACCAAAAUCUACUUAUUGACUUCUCAAACAUUCUUUAAGGGUACAAUCUACUCAUGUGUAAACAAUUUUCAUAAAGAUUUUAUAGAUAUGGGAAAUUAAACAUGACCUCAAAACUCAAUGUCAUGGUAUCAUAACCAAUUUAAAUUGUCAUUAACUGGCUUGGUAUUGACCUGUUUGCCAACUGGCAAUAACAAAUCCAAAAAUCAUUACACUCUCUCUUUUAUAGAUGUUUUAAGUUGUUCAUUCUCCUUUUGUUAUAUCUUAGACUAUUUUAUAACAUUCUCUUUUGUUCAAGUCUAUUUUUCUGCUACUUUGUCCCAUUUAUCAGAUUGGAAUAUAUGAUUCAUUUAUGAAGUUACAACUUGUACAAAGUAUUUUAAAUAUUAGAUUAGUCCUUUUACAAUCUCACUCUUGGAAGAAAACAAAAUGUUUUUCAAUUAAAAAAAUAAUUCUGGCUGUAUUCUUAGGUAUUAUGUAUUCUUAGUUUAAUGCACCAGAAAUUUUGUUAAACUCCAAACUAUAUGAUGACAUAUUUUUGUGCUUAUCAAUCAGAAUGCAAAAAUUUUAUUAGCAUUAUUUCUCACUAUAUUUGUACCUGAAGAGAUUACUCCCAUUCAUUAAAACUAUCAGUAAUAAGAUAGGAUGUGUGCUUGAAAUAUUAUACUAGUCACUACCAUAGAAAUAAAUUUAGAUACAUUAUAUGUUGAUAUUUACUUGAUUUAGUUUAUUCCAAAUACAUGUUUCAAAGGUCAGUGAAGACUAAGAAAAUAAAAGAAUUUGGAUUUUUUCAAAACUUUAAAAUUUUAUUUCCAAUUAUAAAUCCAAACAAAAAUUUGACAGAUUUGUUUAAUUAUAGAUGUGUUAGGAGAGUGGAAAAAAUGUGUUUGUGGUAUACAAAAUUUAAGGUGUUCUUUAUCCCAGAUACUUACUGGAUCAAAACAAAUGCUGCCAGUUAUGUUCUAUGCAAAAUCUAAAAGCUGAAUGAUAAAAUGGUACUUUUACUCAUAGAAAUGUCUUCUUUAAAUGAAAGGUCUCCUUUAAGUGGCAUUUCAAUAACAUAAAACCAAUUUCAAAUUGAUUUUAAUCAGCCUACACUUGUUAAAGGAAAAUUACAAGGCAAAGAAAUGUAGAUUAGCUGCUGUUGAAGGAAUUGUGGGUAUAUUUUCCUUUGAUUUAAGAGAAGAAGAAAAUAUCAUGAAAGAACCACUUAAAUAAUUUCAUGCUUUAAAGUACAUAAUUAUGAAGCAAAAGAGAGUAGAAAUGCCAGAGGCAUAUAUGUAUAUGAUGAGACCAUACCCUGGCCUUAACAGAUGGAAGACAAAUAAGAUUUGACAACCAGUCUUUAAUAUAUUUUUAUUUUGCACUUCUUGUCCUGAAGUUACACAUGAAUUAAAAAUAGUAGUUUGAAAUAGAGUUCAUGCAGUUUAAUAAGAACAUUUAGCCAACAUCCCUUUUCUCCCCAACUGGAAAGCACACUGAAGACUGAGCUCUAUUGCUGCUCCACUAGACAUGUAAGCUUAAGUAAACUAUUUAAUUUCUCAGAGCUGUAGUUUACUCUUCUAUAAAAUAAGAAUAGUAAUAAAUGUCCUUAGUACUCCACAGGAUUGUUUUAAGGAUUAAGAGCUAAAACUAACAGUUUUUGCAUGAAGGACAAGUGAUGUGACAUAUACUCUCAAAUCAACUUCUUAAAACAAAUUCACUGGGGGUGGCUAGGUGGCGCAGUGGAUAAAGCACUGGCCCUGGA